GAUGAACGCUGGCGGCGUGCCUAAUACAUGCAAGUCGAGCGAACAGAUGAGGAGCUUGCUCCUCUGACGUUAGCGGCGGACGGGUGAGUAACACGUGGAUAACCUACCUAUAAGACUGGGAUAACUUCGGGAAACCGGAGCUAAUACCGGAUAAUAUAUUGAACCGCAUGGUUCAAUAGUGAAAGACGGUUUUGCUGUCACUUAUAGAUGUAUCCGCGCCGCAUUAGCUAGUUGGUAAGGUAACGGCUUACCAAGGCAACGAUGCGUAGCCGACCUGAGAGGGUGAUCGGCCACACUGGAACUGAGACACGGUCCAGACUCCUACGGGAGGCAGCAGUAGGGAAUCUUCCGCAAAGGGCGAAAGCUUGACGGAGCAACGCCGCGUGAGUGAUGAAGGUCUGCGGAUCGUAAAACUCUGUUAUUAGGGAAGAACAAAUGUGUAAGUAACUAUGCACGUAUUGACGGUACCUAAUCAGAAAGCCACGGCUAACUACGUG
rnacentral:rRNA from 1 species